AUCUCCUCAUACACUUCAAUUUUCGUGCCCCUCCUAACCCCCUCCAUGUACUCUUCUGGGUUGAAGAGGGUGGCGUGUGGGGCUCCCGGUCUGAAUUGUAGGAUUUGCUGUAUCCAGAACACAUAUACCUAUCCAAGAGGUAAUUUUCAACUCAAGGAUUUGCCAGUAAUGCAGUUUUGCAAAGAGAUAUCACUUCGAAUCAGUGGCGGCUGAAGAUUUUUGAAGGCUUAAGACCGAACAUUAAAGUGACGCUCUCUAUAUCAUUCGGUAGUUUGACAAUUGUUUUGCUUUGAAGUCGGUAACACUUGCAUGAGGAAAACCAGAAACAACAACAGCAAAACAAAGAACCAAGAAUUCCUAUCUCGAUGAAGCUCAGCUCUGGAAGAGUUGGACCACUUGGAUCUUUAGCAGGAAGGGAUUUCUGGUAGGCCUAAGGUGAUGGACAGAACGGCCUAGUUUAUAUGCAACAUUGCUUCAGCGAUGGGUUGUGUUCAUGUGGAGAAUUAUUGGAGGAAGGACUGCUCCAAUCCCAUUACCCCUUGGGAACCUGAAGCAACAAGGCCUGUCAUCAAUGGCUGCUGCUGUGGCCACCAUGUGCAUCAGUUCUGCUUCAUCGGAGGGAGCCAUGACCACCAUGUUUGGCAAACAAGCCAUGUAUGCGACAUCAAAUGCUCCACAGUGAGUCGGUCCAUCUGCACCUACUAGACCAGCUCGGUCCAUUGCAAAUCGAACAGCCUCACGGAGUUUUCGGAACUUUGGGCUAGCUUGGAUCUUGGCCAGGGUACUACUGAGGGCUCCAACAGGAGUAGCAGGGCCAUCAAGAGUAGCAGUGGGCAAGGAGACUUGUUUGUUGUCAUUCAACACCACAAUCAGGUUAGAAUCAAGAAACCCUGCAUUGUUCAUGGCUUCGUAUGCUUGUCCUGCAGUCAUGGCUCCAUCCCCAAUCACAGAAAUCACAUUGUUAUUCUUGCCUAACAAGUCUCUUCCAACUGCCAUACCUACAAAACAAAAAAUGUUGUUUCGAUCCCAACAAAAUCGAGUCGAUCAGAGCCCGUUUGGUUGUUUGGUAUAGUAUUUGAUCGUCUUAUGUUUCUUGUUUCUGGUUUCUGUAAAAUAUGUAGAACUUGUUUACCCCCACUUUUCAUAGAACACAGAACACGUUCACUUUUUCGAAAAUCACUCACAAAAUAGGAAACGAACAAGGGAAUGACUGAGGGUUUUUGUUUCUUCGAAAGCACGAGAAACAAAAGUAGAGAAAACAAAUUCUGGAAUGACAUGAUUAAUCAAAAGCAUACCAAGACCAGCAGAGAUGCUUGUAGAACUAUGGCCUGCACCAAAAGCAUCAUAGAUGCUUUCAUCCCUCUUAGGAA